rnacentral:rRNA from 1 species
AACGCGAAGAACCUUACCUGCCCUUGACAUCCNGAUGACCGNNNAGUAAUGUNNNCUUUNCUUCGGANCAUCCGAGACAGGUGGUGCAUGGUUGUCGUCAGCUCGUGUCGUGAGAUGUUGGGUUAAGUCCCGCAACGAGCGCAACCCUUAUCUUCAGUAGCCAGCGGUUCGGCCGGGCACUCUGGAGAGACUGCCAGGGAUAACCUGGAGGAAGGUGGGGAUGACGUCAAAUCAUCAUGCCCCUUAUGGGCAGGGCUACACACGUGCUACAAUGGCGUAAACAAAGGGAGGCAGAGCCGCGAGGCCGAGCAAAUCUCAAAAAUAACGUCUCAGUUCGGAUUGUAGUCUGCAACUCGACUACAUGAAGCUGGAAUCGCUAGUAAUCGCGAAUCAGAAUGUCGCGGUGAAUACGUUCCCGGGUCUUGUACACACCG